rnacentral:rRNA from 1 species
GAUCCUGGCUCAGGAUGAACGCUAGCGGCAGGCCUAACACAUGCAAGUCGAGGGGUAACAGGGGAGCUUGCUCCCGCUGACGACCGGCGCACGGGUGCGGAACGCGUAUGGAACCUGCCCCUGUCAGAGGAAUAGCCCAUGGAAACGUGGAUUAAUGCCUCAUGGUAUUGUGAAGUUGCAUGAUUUUACAAUUAAAGAUUUAUCGGACAGGGAUGGCCAUGCGUAUCAUUAGCUAGUUGGGGAGGUAACGGCUCACCAAGGCGACGAUGAUUAGGGGCCCUGAGAGGGGGAUCCCCCACACUGGUACUGAGACACGGACCAGACUCCUACGGGAGGCAGCAGUGAGGAAUAUUGGACAAUGGUCGGAAGACUGAUCCAGCCAUGCCGCGUGCAGGAAGACGGCCCUACGGGUUGUAAACUGCUUUUCUACAGGAAGAAAGGUUCCCUUGCGAGGGAGAUUGACGGUACUGUAGGAAUAAGGACCGGCUAACUCCGUGCCAGCAGCCGCGGUAAUACGGAGGGUCCGAGCGUUAUCCGGAAUCAUUGGGUUUAAAGGGUCCGUAGGUGGGGUUCUAAGUCAGAGGUGAAAGGUUGCAGCUCAACUGUAGAAUUGCCUUUGAUACUGGAGCUCUUGAGUUAUGUUGCUGUGGCCGGAACAUGUGGUGUAGCGGUGAAAUGCAUAGAUAUCACAUAGAACACCGAUUGCGAAGGCAGGUCACAAAGCAUACACUGACACUGAGGGACGAAAGCGUGGGGAGCGAACGGGAUUAGAUACCCCGGUAGUCCACGCCGUAAACGAUGGACACUAGCUGUUGGGUUUUCGGACUCGGCGGCCAAGCGAAAAGGAUAAAGUAUCCCCCCUGGGGAGUACGUUCGCCAGAAUGAAACUCAAAGGAAUUGACGGGGGCCCCGCACAAACGGUGGAAGCAUGUGGUUUUAAUUCAUAGAUACACGAGGAACCUUAACCAGGGCUAAAAUAGGAGAUGAUCCGGGUCAGAAAAUGACCCCUUUCCUGGGGACAUCGUACAACUGUUCUGCGAAGAUUGUCCUACAGCACCCCACCGUGAGGUCACAGCCUAACCUCGAGUACCGAGUUACAACCCUAACACGAGCGCAGCCAGCGCCUCAAUUCCCAGAGUCUAAUCGGGGAUCUAACCCGACCUCCCGGUCCAACCGAAGAAGAAAGUGGGGAACAACUCCAAUCAUCCCGGCCCUUACUCCUGGGCUACCCACCUGCUACAAUGCUCGGUACAAAGAACCCCCCCGCGGGGGGGGUUUAAAAAACGUCACACUUCGGAUCGGGGUUCAACUCGACCCCGUGAAGCUGGAAUCGCUAGUAAUCGGAUAUCAGCCAUGAUCCGGUGAAUACGUUCCCGGG